rnacentral:lncRNA from 1 species
GCCUACUGGGUUUUGGACGUUCAUGUAUCCUCCUUACCCUGUAGGAAUUCUAGUGACUAUGUUGCCACCAUCUUGGAGCUCCAUGCCCUCAUAGUGUAAUGGCAUCAGCAGAUCUGCCUGUGCACAGACUUCCUGUACUACCUCACUCCUGAGGGGAGAUGCUUCUGCAGGGCCUGCGACCUGGUGCUCAACUUUAGACACCAUCAUUCUGGAGCGGCACUGCACCCUCACUAGCCAGGGUGUUGACGUCCUCAAGGCCAAGGCCACAUUCAAGACUUUGGACUUCAUUGAUGCACUUGUGCCGAGCAAGCUUAUCUGAUCUUCUGGGAUCUCUACUAGGAUGCUGGCAGCCCAGCCAGCUGGUCUGGCCCUGGACGUGCCUUCAGGGGCUGGGUAUGCUUCAUGACCUGUGUUUUGAUCCUGGUUGGAGUAAAACAUUCCAUGGGAACUCGGGCUGUGAGAAACGUCCUAACCACCUGACUGCAGAAACAUCCUUAUCACAUCCUGCUGGGCAAAGGCCCAACAGCCUGACUUCAGGAACAUCCUUAUCAUCAUCUACUGAGCAGCAAGCUAUACUGUCCAGAGCCCUCCCUCCCAGCCCCAUGAUUACCCCAGCCUGUAAGUGGCAGUGGGCGCUGACACUAAGCUGGUUUCCCCCUCCGCAGGGUUUUGCUAGUAAUAAACCUGUGUUGCUG